rnacentral:snRNA from 1 species
GGAUGUGAGGGCAAUCUGGCUGCGACAUCUGUCACCCCAUUGAUCGCCAGGGUUGAUUCGGCUGAUUUGCCUGGCUAGGCGGGUGUCCCCUUCCUCCCUCACCGCUCCAUGUGCGUCCCUCCCGAAGCUGCGCGCUCGGUCGAAGAGGACGACCACCCCCAAUAGAGGAGGACCGUUCUUCGGUCAAGGGUAUAGAGUAGCUGCGCUCCCCUGCUAGAACCUCCAAACAAGCUCUCAAGAACUAAACAGAAUUUUAACAUACAUUCUGUUUCAAAACAAUU